rnacentral:rRNA from 2 species
CGUAGGUGGAUAAUUAAAAAUACAGUAAAAAACUGAGGAUAACCUUCUUUAAUCUGCAUUCACUAAUUAUCUGAGUUUUAUGGGCGGUUUAUUGAAUUCUUGAAGGAAGGGUGAAAUUGUUGAUAUUGGAAGACAUUCGAUAGCGAAAGCAUUAACCGAUAUAAAUCUGACACUAGGUACUAAAGUAUGGGGAUAAAUAGGAUUAGAGACCUAGUAGUCCAUACCUUAACAAUGAGUGUUUAACAUCUUUUGGCAUUCGUGUCGUCUGAGGUUUAAAGCUAACGCGUGAAACACCGCCUGGGGACUGUGGCCGCAAGGUUAAACUCAAAGGAAUUGACGGUGGCUUAUACAAGG